rnacentral:misc_RNA from 1 species
GAUCCCAAGCCUUCUGGCGGUCUAUGCGAAAUGCGCCUUUAUUUUGGUUUUAAGGAAAUGCUUUUUCGUUUUAAAAGAUUAUGCCGGGGAAGGUUUUCCGGUUUAUCCCGGAGGGCUUGUAGCUCAGUUGGUUAGAGCGCGCGCUUGAUAAGCGUGAGGUCGGAGGUUCAAGUCCUCCCAGGCCCACCAUUUAUAAGUGCUUCCAUUUAUCUUAUUGCUGAUAGAGUGCUUUUUACUCGGUAUUUUACAGGGUAUUUGUUACAAAGCGCUUGUAAAGAGAUAAGUUCCAUUAGAGAAGAAUGUAACGCUUAUCAAUGACGCUGAAGUGAUUUAAGCUCAAAUUUAGAGCCUUUUAGAUACUCGAAUUUAAGAGAGAAUUGAGGUAAAAUUUUAGUUUUAAGUCCUUUAUCCUAUUUUAGGGGCCGUAGCUCAGCUGGGAGAGCACCUGCUUUGCAAGCAGGGGG